GCCAUAGCCCUCCUCCUCCACAAGACCCUUUCCCAUGUGGACACUGAUGGGUCCACAGCUUCCUGACCGGACGACCACAGGUGGUUAGGCUGGGUCACCACUCCUCAUCUCCCCUCACCCUCAACACAGGAUCCCCCCAGGGCUGUGUGCUCAGCCCCCUGCUGUACUCACUGUACACUCAUGACUGUGAGGCCACUUCAGACUCAAAUGUCAUCAUAAAGUUUGCUGACGACACAGCCGUUGUAGGACUGAUCUCCCACAACAACGAGACUGCCUACAGGAGGGAGGUCUCCCACCUGGAGGUCUGGUGCCAGGAGAACCAUCUCCUGUUAAAUGUCAGCAAAACAAAAGAGCUGAUAGUGGACAUCUGGAAACAGCCGAGGAGCCUCCAUCCACUCCUCAUCAGUGGUUCUGAGGUGGAACGUGUGGACACUUUCAGGUACCUGGGAGUGACCAUAUCACAAGACCUGACCUGGACUCAGCACAUCACAACAACUGUGAAGAAGGCCAGACAGCGUCUGUUCCUCCUCAGACGACUGAGAGACUUUAAGCUCCCUCUCAGGGAGCUCAAGAACUUUUACACCUGCACCAUUGAGAGCAUCCUGUGUGGGAGCAUCACCACGUGGAUGGGGAACUGCACAAAGCAGGACCUCUUGGCCCUAA